rnacentral:rRNA from 1 species
GUAAGGAAUAUUGGUCAAUGGACGAAAGUCUGAACCAGCCAUGCCGCGUGGAGGAUGAAGGUCCUCUGGAUUGUAAACUUCUUUUAUAUGGGACGAAAAAAGGCUUUUCUAAGUCGUCUGACGGUACCAUACGAAUAAGCACCGGCUAACUCCGUGCCAGCAGCCGCGGUAAUACGGAGGGUGCAAGCGUUAUCCGGAAUCACUGGGUUUAAAGGGUACGUAGGCGGUUAAUUAAGUCAGUAGUGAAAGACUGUCGCUCAACGACGGAUGUGCUAUUGAUACUGGUUAACUUGAAUCAGGUUAGAGUUGGCGGAAUGGGUCAUGUAGCGGUGAAAUGCUUAGAUAUGACUUGGAACACCGAUAGCGAAGGCAGCUGACUGAGCCUUGAUUGACGCUGAGGUACGAAAGUGUGGGUAGCGAACAGGAUUAGAUACCCUUGUAGUCC